ACAAGUAUGAUAGGUGGUGCUCGGUAGGGUAGCUCUGGGUACCCGUCAUGGCCCCUAGUCGGGUCGUGACAAGUUUUUACUCCUCCCUGUCAUAUUCUUUUUGAUCCUGGAGUUCUGUUGUGCAAAGUAAAGAAGGAGGAGGCGGCUAAGGGUGAAACCCUAGCGCCGCCUCCUGUUCCAACACCUACCCACCCCUUUUCUCGGUUAUGUCCCAUCGGUUAGAAGCGUCUAAUGUGGAGGAGAGGACAAAACAUUUAAAGCUUCGUCCUUCUCUCACCAGAAAAUGGCCAAACAGGCCCUUAUGCAAGUUCUUGCUCUACCAGCUGUAACAUAUAUACUCCACCAUUGAUCUUCUAUUGUUUGGGACGAUUUGGACCGUCGUUCAUUUGUCCCACAUCGACGUUUGUGAUGGUUUUUUCUGUUUUGGGGCCCUCAUUCACGAGUAAAAGAGGUCGGAAAAAGAAGGGAAAAAAACUAAUAUCAGCAAAAAUCUGAUUUUUCUAAGUUUGAAUCUCUCAAAUAAUUUUAAGGUUUUUGAUUAAUCUUGAAAACCUAGUCUCUAAAAGUUUAUUUUUCUUUUAUUUUGGCAUUCUUGGCUUCGAAUUUGGAGAGGGUGUUCUUCAAGUCUGUUCUUGGUCAAGGCCGUGUCAAAAAAAGCCUCCUAUAGGGCUAAAUAGGACUUCUAUUCAAAUUAGGAUCGAGUCCGCGAAGAAAAUAAUGGCGAGGCGCGCAGAAGGCCCAGCCAUCGGUGAAAAUGGUUACUAGGGGCUUGGUACGCCCCUAGUCUAAUUUAUUUAUUAUGUGUAUAUUUUUAUGUAUUUGUAAAAGAUGUAUUCAAACUCAUAUUAUAGUGGAACUUAUGGCUUAGA